rnacentral:snRNA from 1 species
ACACUCACCUGGUGCCGGGGCCUCGUUGAUCACUGAGAAUGAGCCCCAAGGGCCAGACGCGGGCAUUACGCCGCGCUCCCGUUGACCCCUGCCACUACCGUAAACUGAGGCAGAUGGGGCAUGCAGAUUGC